rnacentral:rRNA from 1 species
UACGUAGGGUGCAAGCGUUAAUCGGAAUUACUGGGCGUAAAGCGUGCGCAGGCGGUUUUGUAAGACCGAUGUGAAAUCCCCGGGCUUAACCUGGGAACUGCAUUGGUGACUGCAAGGCUUGAGUGUGUCAGAGGGAGGUGGAAUUCCGCGUGUAGCAGUGAAAUGCGUAGAUAUGCGGAGGAACACCAAUGGCGAAGGCAGCCUUCUGGGCCAACACUGACGCUCAUGCACGAAAGCGUGGGGAGCAAACAGG